AUGCUAUGUUCAACUAGAAAAACUAUAUUUCACAAAUAAACUUUAACUUCUAGGCAU
rnacentral:snoRNA from 2 species